rnacentral:lncRNA from 1 species
AUAAGCCCUUGUUCCCCCCUUUGUUCCCAAACGCUAUGUUUGACUCCCGGGAACAGUAGUUCCCGAAAAUCUGGAACUAGCUGGUAUAAGGUUGGAACUGCUGUUCCAUCCGUUUCCUGGAAUAAGCUUGUUCCUUGAUGAGAACAAGAUUAAUUAAAAUCUAAAUUUAAUUUUACUGGCAGUAAAUUAUUAAUUAAUCUAAUUAAUAUAUUUAAAUUAUUAUUUAUUAUUUUAAUAAUUAAAUAAUUAAAUAAUUUAUUAUUUAUAAUUAAUUAUGAAUAAUUAGAUAAUUAUUAUUAUUAAUUUAUUAUUUAUAAUUAAUUAUUAAUAAUUAAUAAUAUUUAUUAAUUUUUUAUUAAUAAUUAUUAUUCUUAAUGAUAAUCGAUAUUAUUAAUUAAU